rnacentral:rRNA from 1 species
UACGUAGGGCGCAAGCGUUAUCCGGAAUUAUUGGGCGUAAAGAGCUCGUAGGCGGUUUGUCGCGUCUGCCGUGAAAGUCCGGGGCUCAACUCCGGAUCUGCGGUGGGUACGGGCAGACUAGAGUGAUGUAGGGGAGACUGGAAUUCCUGGUGUAGCGGUGAAAUGCGCAGAUAUCAGGAGGAACACCGAUGGCGAAGGCAGGUCACUGGGCAUUAACUGACGCUGAGGAGCGAAAGCAUGGGGAGCGAACAGG